CCUACGGGAGGCAGCAGUGAGGAAUAUUGGUCAAUGGACGAGAGUCUGAACCAGCCAAGUAGCGUGAAGGAUGACUGCCCUAUGGGUUGUAAACUUCUUUUAUAUGGGAAUAAAACGUUCCACGUGUGGGAUUUUGUAUGUACCAUAUGAAUAAGGAUCGGCUAACUCCGUGCCAGCAGCCGCGGUAAUACGGAGGAUCCGAGCGUUAUCCGGAUUUAUUGGGUUUAAAGGGAGCGUAGGUGGAUUGUUAAGUCAGUUGUGAAAGUUUGCGGCUCAACCGUAAAAUUGCAGUUGAAACUGGCAGUCUUGAGUACAGUAGUGGUGGGCGGAAUUCGUGGUGUAGCGGUGAAAUGCUUAGAUAUCACGAAGAACUCCGAUUGCGAAGGCAGUUCACUGGACUGCAACUGACACUGAGGCUCGAAAGUGUGGGUAUCAAACAGGAUUAGAUACCCUUGUAGUC
rnacentral:rRNA from 1 species